rnacentral:rRNA from 1 species
AAUGAACGUUGGCGGCGUGGAUUAGGCAUGCAAGUCGUACGGGUCGGUGUAGCAAUACAACGGCAAGUGGCGAAAGGGAGAGUAACGCGUAGAUACCUACCCUCUGGUCGGGGAUACCGCGGCAUAACCGCAAGUAAUACCCGAUAAUAUCUCCGGAUCAAAGGUGUGAUUCCGCCGGAGGAGGGGUCUGCGUUUCAUCAGCUUGUUGGUGAGGUAAUGGCUCACCAAGGCUAAGACGAAUACGGGGUGUGAGAGCAUGCCCCCGCUCACUGGGACUGAGACACUGCCCAGACACCUACGGGUGGCUGCAGUCGAGAAUCUUCGGCAAUGGGCGCAAGCCUGACCGAGCGACGCCGCGUGCGGGACGAAGGCCUUCGGGUUGUAAACCGCUGUCGAGGGGGAUAAAGUGCUGGUGGGUACUCCCAUCUGUUUGAUAGAUCCCUGGAGGAAGCAUGGGCUAAGUUCGUGCCAGCAGCCGCCGUAAAAC